AUCUAUGUAAAGAAGGGAGACCAAAAAUGCAAAACUGUUACAUUACAUCAAGAUUUUUGACACAAUUCAUUAAUUUCCAGCCAACACAUUUAAUGAGUAAAACACUUUGAUUUUACAGGUGAAGCAAUGAGCGGAGAGAAUAAGGGGGAAAAAGUCAGAAUCAAAGAAGACUUGAGUAAAUUCAAAACACAAUCAGUAGGGCAAAUUCCCAACUCUAGGUUAUAAAUUAAUCUCCACUUGAUUUAAUAAAAGCUGUAUCUAAUGUAUAUAUUAUUGUUACUUUUUCCAAUCACAUGUUCAUAUUAGAAUAAAACAAACAUUCAAAAUUUAUGGAACCUGUUGCCAAAGCCCUGAUAAAAAUCAGUAUUUGUACAAUCUGCAUUCUUAUCCAAAGGCUAUUACUUCUAGGAAUGUGGGGAGAAAAAUUAAUUAUGUUAGUAUUCUGGUAAGUAGGAAUCUUUUACAAUGAUGCUUCAAUAUAGCUCAGUGAUUUAGGACAUAUUUGAUACCAAAAAAGUCUUAAUUUGUACUUCAUAAUAAGUUUGUAUCCCUUAAUUAUCAUAAAUUGGUCUAUAAAUUUAAUAGCAUAUGGAAACCUUCAAUAAGUAAUUAUUUUCUGACCUACUACCUUGAAAUUAUUCUAGAAGCACGGGUGCAGGAUCACUGAAAUAAAUAUAUUAAAAAUGUAUUUAGGGGCCUAUUUCCAGUUCUGCAUGUACCAGAGUUCAGCUAAACUACUGCUUGGUGUCAUUGCCUCAGCAUCUAUUUCAUCUGGCCACCAGGCCAGUGGAGGCUUUAAAUAGAUACCAGCACCUCAUGCAAAAACACACCCUAGAAAACAGCCUGCAGAAUCACAAGUAAAUGUUUAGUCCCUGAUAUAACUUCCUGGUGGCCCUCCAGAUCAACUGUCUCCCUUGUCUUCCCUUAGAAAAGACCCCAGAAGAGCUUACCAAAACUCUGCUGUUUGGGGUUUGAACUGACCAAUCUGGCCCUAGCCUGGGAAUCCCAAAGCACUCCACCCACAGACCCUAAUAAAGGCAUGUGGCCCAGGUCCUGCAGCUCUCUCUGCCUGCACCUUGCCUUGAUCUCCCAGCUCCCACUGUGGAACCCCUGAAGCAUGCCAUGUACUUCCUCCAGGAACUUUUCCAGGCUCCCAUAUGACACAUACCUAAAGCAGAACAUUGCAAACUGACGCUACCAGCAGCUACUUUGUUCUUCUCAACAAGGCCUGCGCUCAGAGAAAACUAGUUAAUCAGAACCUAACCUGCUGGGGUGUUAUCAGAACCUAACUGACCCAAGAAGGGAAAUGACCAAUUCCACUUGGCUCGAGGGAUUCUGUCCUACCUAACGAGGGGGAAAAAAACUUGAGAAACUCUUGUGAAGUUAAAUUCCAGAAGCACAGGCUCACUGAAAGACCUGAGACCUAAUCACAGGAAUAUAGAACACUUCCCCGUCACCCCACAUCACCACGGUAUUAUUACUAAGGGCCUAUUUACAGCAGUUCCUUUUACCUAGUACAUCAUGCUGGACUAUCAAGAAAAAAUUCCAAAAGACAAAAACCACAGUUGGAAGCGACAGAACAAGCAUCAGAACAAGACUUGGCAGGGAUAUUGGAAUCAUCAGGCCAGGAAUUAAAAACAACUAUGAGUAAUAAGCUAAGGGCUUUAAUGGUUAAAGUAGACCGCAUGCAAAAACAGAUGGGCAGUGUAAGCAGAGACACAGAAAUCCUAAGAAAGAACAAAAAAGAAAUGCUAGAGAAACAAACAAACAAACAAACAAACACUGUAACAGAAAUAAAGAAUGCAUUUGAUGGGUUUAUUAGUAGACUGCACAUGGCUGAGAAAAGAACUUCUAAGAUAAGAGGAUAUAUCAACAGAAUCCUUGAAAACUAAAAACAUAAAACUGAAAAAAAAAAAGAGAGAGAACAUCUAAGAGCUGUGCAACCACAAAAGGUGUAAUACACGUGUAAUGGGA